rnacentral:rRNA from 1 species
CUUUUGAGUGCGUUCGGGCAUGCCUCUGGACUGUCUUGCAACAUGGCUAAAAGCUCUAUCUCGCUGAUCCGUUGCAGGCAGGAGGACAUUCAUCAAGUGACAGCCACCCUAGCCUGCUCCAUCAAGGAUUUUCCCCUAACCUAUCUGGGGUUGCCACUAUCUGUUACUCGGCUGCCCAAAUCUGCUCUCCAACCACUUAUUGACAGAACCGCGGACUACUUGCCCACCUGGAAAGCACGCUAUCUCCAUCGGGCCGGGAGGCUUAUCUUAAUCAACUCAACGCUCACCGCAGCUUCCAUCUUCUUAAUGCUCGUGCUUGAUCUGUCGGCGUGGUUUAUCUCUUGCAUUGAUAAGAUCAGACGUGGAUUUUUUUGGUGCGGGCAUGACGAGCCCAAAGGCAGGAACUGCUUAAUCAACUGGAACCUUGUUUGCUCGCCUAAAGUUUAUGGUGGACUCGGGAUCCACAACCUCAGGUUACUAAAUCAGGCCCUACUUCUCAAUGGCGCUGGUUCGAGAAGGUCGCUGACGAGAAGCCUUGGCAAGGCCUUGACAUUAAACUGCCUGCUGAGCUUGACAUCAUUUUCAGCGCUGGAUUACAUUGCUUGCUUGGGAAUGGCAAUAACAUCAAAUUCUGGACAGACCCGUGGAUAA